GGGGAAUUUUUCGCAAUGGGCGCAAGCCUGACGAAGCAACGCCGCGUAGAGGAUGAAGGCCCUCGCGGUCGUAAACUCUUGUCUAGCGGGACGAAACCUUUGCAGAUGAAUAAUCUGCAGAAUUGACUGUACCGCUGGAGGAAGCUCCGGCCAACUCCGUGCCAGCAGCCGCGGUAAUACAGAGGGUGCGAGCGUUAAUCGGAAUUACUGGGCGUAAAGCGCGCGUAGGCGGCUUCGCAAGUCGGGUGUGAAAUCCCCAGGCUUAACCCGGGAACUGCAUUCGAGACUGCGUUGCUAGAGUAUGGGAGAGGGAAGUGGAAUUUCCGGUGUAGCGGUGAAAUGCGUAGAUAUCGGAAGGAACAUCAGUGGCGAAAGCGACUUCCUGGACCAAUACUGACGCUCAUGUGCGAAAGCGUGGGGAGCAA
rnacentral:rRNA from 1 species